rnacentral:rRNA from 1 species
UGGGGAACCUGCCCCAUAGUCUGGGAUACCACUUGGAAACAGGUGCUAAUACCGGAUAAGAAAGCAGAUCGCAUGAUCAGCUUUUAAAAGGCGGCGUAAGCUGUCGCUAUGGGAUGGCCCCGCGGUGCAUUAGCUAGUUGGUAAGGUAAAGGCUUACCAAGGCGAUGAUGCAUAGCCGAGUUGAGAGACUGAUCGGCCACAUUGGGACUGAGACACGGCCCAGACUCCUACGGGAGGCAGCAGGU